UGGCUCAGUGGUUAAGCAUUUGGCUGCUACCCAAAAGGCAGGCAGUUCAAAUCCGCC
rnacentral:tRNA from 1 species